UCCUUUUCCAGCUCCAUGAUGAUCCUGCAGGUUUCAGGGCAUCCCUGGACAGUGGAUCUGACAGCACUACUGAUGGUGCUGCUCAUAUCUGUGGUCCAGGGCUGGGCCACUCCAGAGAAUUCCGUGUACCAGGAACGGCAGGAAUGCUACGCGUUCAAUGGGACUCAGCGCUUUGUGGACGGGCUCAUCUAUAACCGGGAGGAAUACGUGCAUUUUGACAGCGCAGUGGGGGAGUUCCUAGCAGUGAUGGAGCUGGGGCGGCCCACGGGCGAGUACUUGAACAGCUAGAAGGACUUUAUGGAACGGAAGCGAGCCGAGGUGGACAAGAUGUGCAGACACAAGUACGAGCUGAUGGAGCCACUCAUCCGGCAGCGCCCAGUCCACCCGAGGCUGAACGUCUCCCCCUCCAAGAAGGGGCCCUUACAGCACCACAACCUGCUCGUCUGUCACAUGACAGAUUUCCACCCAGGCAGCAUUCAAGUCCGAUGGUUCCUGAAUGGACAGGAGGAAACAACUGGGGUCGUGUCCACCAACCUCAUCCAUAAUGGAAACUGGACCUUCCAGAUCCUGGUGUUGCUGGAAAUGACCCCCCAGCAGGGAGACGUCUACACCUGCCAAGUGGAGCACCCCAGCCUGGACAGUCCUGUCACUGUGGAGUGGAAGACACAGUCUGAUUCUACCCAGAGCAAGACGCUGACAGGAGCCGCGGGCUUCGUGCUGGGGCUCAUCAUCUGUGGAGUGGGCAUCUUCAUGCACAGAAGGAGCAAGAAAGUUCAACAAGGAUCUGCAUAAACAGGCAAUACUCCUGCUUUGUUUUCCUUAUUGGGGGAGUUACAGGAGGACAUAAGUCCUUUCUGUGCAUUGUGACACUGAGGCUCCUCUAGGAAAAGAGUCUGAGGCCUGAACCCCUGUUUCAACCUCAGCCCUGGGAUGAGUGGGGAAAGAGCAUUGCAUGGCUCCAUUGCUAAAGGAAGCUCAGAUCAACUCUAUUCUUUGUCAGCGUGAGAUUCAGCCUCUCACCAUUAUUUUUGUCUCCUGGGACUUAAAGGAAGGGGGCCAGCAACCUGGGAUAACUUUGUUUUUUACCCCCACUGGGUUC